GAUGAACGCUGGCGGUAUGCCUAACACAUGCAAGUCGUACGAGAGUUUUUAACUCUAGUGGCGGACGGGUGAGUAACACGUGAGAAUUUGCCUUUAGGAGGGGGAUAACAAUUGGAAACGAAUGCUAAUACCCCAUAUGCUUUUGAGUGAAAUGGAUUUUAUCCGCCUAGAGAGAAGCUCGCGGCUGAUUAGCUUGUUGGUAAGGUAAGAGCUUACCAAGGCGACGAUCAGUAUCUGGUUUGAGAGGACGAUCAGACACACUGGAACUGAGACACGGUCCAGACUCCUACGGGAGGCAGCAGUGGGGAAUUUUCCGCAAUGGGCGAAAGCCUGACGGAGCAAUACCGCGUGAGGGAAGAAUGCCUAUGGGUUGUAAACCUCUUUUUUCAGGGAGGAUAAAAUGACGUGUACCUGAAGAAUAAGCAUCGGCUAACUCCGUG
rnacentral:rRNA from 1 species